GUGAAUAGAUGAAAAACAUCUGCUUAAGUAUGUCUUUUGUGCCUUGCCUAGGAUAACCAUGGUUGGAAUGACAGGUAUUGGCCAUAAAGAUGAACAAAAAUAGUGUAGAACAGAAAGGUAACAGAACAUAGAGAACACAGAGAAAGCAAUGUGAGUAUGGAUGGGGGUUGUAAUGGUUACCAGUGAGGGUCUCAAAGUAACUGCUGUCAGCCCAGUUCAGGGUCUCUGUUUGUGGGGCCUGGGAUUACUGAUCGAUGUGUGGGUGCUCUUGUACUCUCGGAAAUCAACUCAACAGGGGGGGGGGGAUUAGGGAUUCUGUUUACUGUGCAUGGGGGCAUGAUCCCUCCCAGCUCCCCUGAACCCUCAUUCCUCCACUCUCAAGAGCCCUUAAUCCUCAUGACACCCCCCCCUAAGAAUCCUCAACUGGUUAUGUGAACCUCAGUGGCUCGUAGGGGCACCAGCUGGAAUCAGAGUGGCGAGGACAUCGCCGGAAGAGAGACAUUAUACUCUAUCUUAAUAUUUGUGCCAGGGUUCCCACACCUUAUAAAACAAUGGGAGGGAGUUAUGUAGUGUUGCUGUUAGUUGGUCCAUUAAGCGGUGGUCCUCUAUCUUGGCUCUAAUCUCUCCUAUUGACGGGAGGGGGAUUGCAACCAGCGAGCCACCAGGACUCUCCUCGCAGCCAAAGUUAUUUUAUUACAUAGUUUCUGCUAUUGUUGGGUCAUAUCUUCUUGGGGUUUGGAAAGUAAAAACUGCCAGGGGUCCAGCUCAAAUGGCCUCUGAAUAAAGAUUGGGACAGGAGUCUAGCUAACAUGCUCCUUCGGGAGCUUGUGGCAUAGGCAUGUGUGCCAAAGGUCUAAAUGGAUAUAUAUUUUCGGGAAGGAUGAAAGGAGGCUCUGUGAGUGACAGCCAGGAGAGUUGUGGCUUCAGCUGCUAAAAGUAAUUAACCUCAUAAUCAGCAAAGCAUUGAGCAGCAAGACUGCAUGGUCAUUAUCUAUGCACCAAAACAACUUCAUUAAACUGAAGUGAUGUUGAUGCUUACACUUAACCUUGAAAGCAUUUUAAAGUUAUCUUUCUAUUUUUGUGAGGAAUAGUUUCUUCUUUGGAAUUUUCUGAAGAGCAACAAAACAUUCACACUAAUCCACAAGACCACUGUGUGCUCUAUAUGAAAUAAAACUCCCUGAGAGAUACAGCAAGUGACUAUGCAAAGAAUUAUUUCAGUAGGACGUUUCUGAAAAAUGACCAACAUGGUUAAUUUCCUGAGAGCAGCCAGGGGUACAAAUCAUUCUAAAUUAAUUCACUCAGAAUCUUUUCUUAUUGAAUCAGAUUAGGAAUACGGUGUCCACUCUCAAAGGAAGACAUUCAAAAAAGCCUGCUAUGCAUUUCCAUUUGAAGAGCUGGAAGAUUUGGUGAAGUCAGUAAGAUGAAGGAAAAAAAAGCCUAAAGAAUUAGAAAAUGUCAUGUUUCACAGCGGCUUAAAAUAUAUCCAGGCAUUUCCAAUCCAUUCAGAUUUGACAGGACUUUUUCUUUGCUGGAAAAAUACAGAGAGCAAGGUGCUCCAUGCAAAUAACGUACAGUGUUUUCAUUAUUUUUUCUACU
rnacentral:lncRNA from 1 species